rnacentral:tRNA from 1 species
GGGGUUGUGGCUCAGAGGUAGAGCGCUCACCUAGCAUGUGUAAGGCACUGGGUUUGAUUCUCAGCCCCA